AUAUAUCCGGUAUUUACUCCGCGCCGCCGAUUUUCCAAGAUGGCCGCGCCCAUCAGUUGGAGCAUGAGAAGAUUUUACAUCUAUGCUUUUAGAUACCAUAUCCGAUGCCAGCAUGUUGGCUUGCAGAUACAGCUUUCCAUUUGGAGACCAUACAACACAAAGGCUCCACGGAACAUACUAACCCUUCACGACAGAGGCAUCUUUCAAAAUGUCUAUCCCAGUGGCAGAUACAGCUUUGGAAGUUUUGUCAGCAGCAGCUAAAAUAAAUAGGCUAGAACAACAACUACAUAGAUAUGAGCUGCUGAAUUUGCACCAUGAACAACAAAAUACUACAUCUUUCUCAAGUGUUAUAUUGAUAGUGAAAUUAAGCAGAAAUAAAAUUGAUUGACAUCCUGAA